UUCUUAAGUCUUAAUAAGUCUCUAUCAACAGUCAGAGAGAUGCAUCCUUCAGUCUGUAAACAAACUCUGCCUUUUAGAAAAUUAGUCUUCAGUUGUACUAUACUUUUUUAGUUAUAUACCUGCGCUCUUUGGCUCUUCUCCAUUUGGCACUGAAGCAAUUUCCUUCACAACCCAAGUGUCCAAGAGUGUCCAAGGCUACUCUUUUGUCCUGUUCUCCCCCACUGCUCUCCAGGCAGCAGAAUAAACUACUUCAUGUGGGAGUACUCAGCUCCCCUUCUCUCCUUGUGACAGGUUUUGAGGGUCCAUCCCCUUCGGAUGAUGGUCUUUUCAUUAUUUUUCUGCGUAUUCCACAAGUAGCUAGCUACUGCAUAUUUUCUAUGGAAGGACACAGUGUCUGGCUGGGCAUGGUGCCAUGACACUUGCCUUGUGAAGCUCAUGAUGUAAUGAAGAAGUUGGCAAUAUAAGCUGCUAAUUGCUAUGCAGUGUGCCAAGUGCUCUGAUCAGGAAAGUUUGGAGUAUCUGUUCCAGAUGGAAAGGAAGCACGGGGUUAUAGGAUUCUUCCAUGGGGGCUAUAUGAGGCUCCCAUUGGGGGUUGUACGAAGCUUCCAUGGGGGUUAUGGGAAACUCCCUUUUGGAAUGGCAGGAAGGAGCAACACAUGAGUUGGAAAGAUAAAAGAAAUGGUUGAGGUGAAGGAGGGAAGUAGGCAUAUUUCAGGUAUGACCCGCAAUCAAAUAUACAAUUCAAGUGGCUGAUGAAAGCUGUCAGCUCAGUGGUUGAACUGAUGCCCUUGUGCUGGUGGAGGGAAGCUGCACUUGGGAUUUUUGCUGAAGGUAGCAAAAUGCCAGCCCCAUAACUGCAACAGGAAUCAUUUGCUGCAAGACUCUUGACUCUUAACCUUGUUUGUGCCUUAAGACAAAUAGCCCCCUCCAAGUAGAGCUGGAGCCCUACUUUCUGAAUCAGUUUUCUUUACAAGUGGAUAUGGAAAGUUCACUAUUAACCAAGUCCUUUUUUAAAGCUGCCACUAUGGGUCUUAUCUCCAUGAUCCCAAGCAGACUUUUUACAUUCAUGUUGGUUCUUGGUACCUGGGUAUGGAAUUCUUCGCAUUUGCAUUAGAAACAAUUGAUAUAUUUAUAAUAAGAAAAGAUGCCAGAUAGUGAUGGCACAUACAUUUAAUGUGAGUACUUGGCAGGUUGAUCUCCAUGAGUUCCAGGCCAGCAUGGUCUACAAAACUAGUUCCAGAACACAAAGAAACCCUGAUGUGUGUGUGUGUGUGUGUGUGUGUGUGUGUGUGUGUGUGUGUGUGUCUGAGAGAGAGAGACAGACAGACAGAGACAGACAAACACAGAGACACAGAGAGAAACAGAGAGAGACAGGUACACAGACAGACAAAAAGGAGAACUUGUCUGGAGUUUUUGAGGGAGAUAUUAAGCCUAGAAAGCCCCCCUUCCCACAGAGCUCAGGGAACUCUGAGCAAGAGGCAGAAAGACUAUAAAAGCCAGAGAGCAUGGACAACUCCAAGGAGACAAUGGCUUCCAGACGCAACAGACUGAUGCACACAUGAACUCAUAGAGUCUGUGGGAGUAUGCAGAGGGCCUGCAUGGGUUCAAGCCUGUGUUUUCUGUAGUUGUUAUUGUUCUUAGUUGGUUGCUUGGCUUUGAAAGCAGAGAGAGAGAGAGAGAGAGAGAGAGAGAGAGAGCAUAAAGUUGGGUGGGUAGAGAAGGAUCUGCAAAGUCUUGAAGGAAGGGAAAAAAUGCAACAAUAAUAUAUUGUCUGAAAACAUUUAACUAAAG
rnacentral:lncRNA from 1 species